GACUGACACAUGCGCAGUGUCGUCUGCAGAUAUUUGGACGUUGGUCGUCUUCUUGUUCUUAUUGAAGGCUUUUAAAGGAGGUAGAUGUUGGACCAGCUCCUCCUUCUUCCGUGAAGCCGUCGCAGCGAGACCUCGAUUCAACCCUGAGUUUCUCUCGACUAGAAAUAGUUAGUCGGCCUAAACUAGAGUCAGAGUUCCUCUCUAACCCUAAAGUAGAUCUAACAGAGUUUAUUACUAAAGUUAAACUCUGAUCUUUGUUGAGUAUUACACUAAACUCAGGGUUAAACUCAUUGAGGAAUUUCAAUGAGGAAAUGGCUGCUUUUUUACCUGCGUCACUCAUCAGGACUCUGCUGUUUCUCAGCUGCUUCCUGCUUGUUUCUGCUGGUAAGUUUAAUCUUUGAUAAUAAGAAGAAUAAUGUUUUUUUUUCAUGUGAGAUGAGAUUUAAAAAUAUUUCCUGUUCCUGUUAAUUUUGGAGAGAAAUUGUUUUAAGUUUGUUCAGGUCUCACAUAUAAUUUAAAUCAACUGUGCUUCAUUAUCUGAAAACUUUGUGUUAUUCUCUAUUCUAAUGUAUUUUGGUUCUGUUCCCUGUUUGGACCAGUUACCUCUUAUAAACUGGGACAGAUUAGGACCCCAUUAACCCACAGUAACUCUGAGUCUCUGUUAGAUGAUAUUUAUUGGAUUCAUUAAACCACAUUUCCUCACAGUAGAGACUAUGAGUAGAAAAUAGUGAAUCCUAAACGUCUCCUUGGUUAAAACCAACACAUGGUCCAUAUGAGGCGUCCUGCAGUAAAUAAUCAACUAAAACUGAGAAUGAGACAAAGUGACCAGCAGGCGUGUGAAGGUCCAACCAGCUGCUCUGCUGUAGUUCCUAGUAAACAUGGACCCAUAUGAGAUUCUCAUGAUUAAAUCUGAUGUUGAUCAGCUGAUAAUUAUCUGAAACUUUAUAUCAGAGAAGAACCAAUCAAUCAAUCAGCCAGAGAUGAAGCUGAGAGGUUUUACUCUUCUCUGGUCUGGGAGAGGUCAAAGGUCAGGUGAGGCCUGGGGGCCAUAAAAGGUCAAGAUCUGGUUUCAACUAUAAAUAGACAAUAAUUAUAAUGUUUUAAUCAACUAUUGCAGGGAUGUCAAACUCCAGUCCUUGAGGGUCAGUGUCCUGCAACUUUUCUAUGUGUCCCUGGUCCAGCACCUGGAUCAAAAUAGCUGGAUUACCUCCACAGUAUGCACUCAAGUUCUCCAGAGUCCUGCUAAUGACCUAAAUAUUAGACUCAGGUGUGUUGAAGCAGGGACACAUCUAAACGUUUCAGGACACCGGCCCUCGAGGACUGGAGUUAGACUCCUCUGAACUAGAGUCUGUUUCUAAAGCAGCAUUAGACAGUAAAUUAUUAAUCUUCUUAUUCUGAAUGUGCAGCUUUAACAUCUCUGCUCUGUGAUGUUUCCUCUCCUGCAGGUCAGAAAAACAUCACAGCUGAACCUGGAGAAGACGUCAUUCUGCCUUGUAGACCAGCUGAGAAGAAAGAUGUUCUAGUUGUAGAGUGGAUCAGAACUGAUCUGGGGUCAGAUCAGUUUGUUCUUUUAAACAGAUCCAAGCAGUUUGAUCCAGAGGGUCAAUUUCCAUCCUUUAAGAACCGGGUGGAUCUGCAGGACGUGAAGAAUGGAGACGUGUCUUUGGUUCUGAAGAACGUGACGACUGAUGAUACAGGAACAUAUGAGUGUCGAGUCGCUCAGAAAGGAAAUGAUCGCAUGAAGACAUCCAUUCAGGACACUGACCCCAUCAGCAUUAUUGACCUGAUAGUUCAAGGAAAGAAGGAUGAACUAAAAGAAGAUGGAGGAAAAGAGGACAGACAACAGGAGGAUGGAGGAGAGAAGAAUGGAAGGAACAGGACUGGACUGAUAGCUGGUCUCUCUGUUCUUGGUAUUAUUAUUGUUGUUGUUGUGGUUCUGGUUCUACGUAGAAGGUAGAGACCUUCAUCACCAGAACCUAACCCACCUCCAGCAACAGAAGCUGAACUCGAGCAAAUUACAACAGAACUAUAAAAGUGUGAUAAUUCAUGACAACCUGAGAGAUGAUUUCAACACAUCAACAUGAAGGAUAAAACUGAUUUCUGCCUGAUUGUGUUUCUCUGUUCCAGUCAGAUUCCUUCAGUUCAGACUCAGUACUGACUCCAGUAUUACCAGAACCUUGGAUACACUCAGAUUCACUGUGAAACAUUUCUUCUAAACCUUCUAUUUUAUCAGGUUUUUUUUUUGCCUUCAUCAAUAUUUAAACCGGAGCAGAAUUUGAUGAACAAUAAAGUUUGCAGUUCUCAGACAAAGAAAUGAUCAUUUAUGUUUACUAUAAGAUGAGUGAAGGUCAGUCAGACAGUCGUCAGUCUUAAUAUUUCAUCUAAAUUGAUGUAAAUCAUCUGGAACAGAACCUGAAAUGCUGAUCAAACCCAGAACUGAACAACGGUUCUUUAACUCUGGUCAGAACUUUGCUGCUGCUCUAUGAUCCAGCUGACUGAUCAACAGAACACAUCUCAUUAUCACUUUAUUCAUUUACGUUCAGUCAUUUGUUAUAAUAAACCAGGACAGAUUGCUUCAGAUUGUGAUUAUUCUGGUUUAACAAUGUGCAGAAUUUACUGGUCAGUUUCAUCAUAUUUAUGAUGUCAUAGAAACUGAACAAAUAGACGUAACAUUAGAUCUCAAAGUGAAUCGUCUCAGGCUGCUGUUUACUUAGACGACAGAGAACUACAACAUCUCUCAGUGUAUGUAUGUAUGCUGACGACACACAGAUCUGAAAUCAAGCAGACAUCUGCAGCUCUUCUGCUGCUGCUGUCUUUUAGUUUUUAUGAUUCUCAGAUCUGGAAGAAACUGCAUGAAAACCUGAGAUGAACAGAAACUGUUGGUUCCUUUAAAUAGUGACUGAAAAUAUUUUUGCUCUUGAUUAAAGAGAAUAAAAUAUUCAUCUGAUCACAGAUUAAGUGUUUAAAAAACAUUUAAAUCGCCUGAUCCAUGAAGGAUGUUAUUAAAUAAACGUUCCUUUCCUAAUAAUUUCAAGUUGCAAAGUUGUCCAUGUUGUUUCUUUGUAAACAUAAUCUGCUUGUAAUAAAAUGGAUUAAGUCUCAAAAUAA